rnacentral:rRNA from 1 species
UACAGAGGGAGCGAGCGUUGUUCGGAAUUACUGGGCGUAAAGGGCGCGUAGGCGGUCCGAUAAGUCCCGUGUGAAAUCCCUCGGCUCAACUGAGGAAUGGCACGGGAAACUGACGGGCUUGAGUUCGGGAGAGGGAAGCGGAAUUCCGGGUGUAGCGGUGAAAUGCGUAGAUAUCCGGAGGAACACCGGUGGCGAAGGCGGCUUCCUGGACCGACACUGACGCUGAGGCGACGAAAGCUAGGGGAGCAAACGGG